rnacentral:lncRNA from 1 species
GUUUAAUUCCGUUCCCCUAGUGAGAAGCUGCAGGACUUGUAGCAUGUCCGGUAACCCCUUCUGCAGCCACCUUCCCACACCAGGGUAGGCUGUGAUCAGGAGCCAGUCAUCAGCCCUAAUCCUACAGACACACGGUUGCUCACUUGGACAACAUUUCAGCAAGAUUGUGAAGCUACACGGAGGAACCCACGUGGUGUGGAUGUGAUCAAGUGUUCUCACCGAAAUACCUGGGCAAGGAAUUGGUGCUAAAAGACCCUAGGCCAGCUUCCAGUCCACGCUGUCGAACAGGAAUAUGUGAGCCGCACACGAAAUGACUGAAAGCUUCUGAAGAGAGAAGACUAUCUUUGUAUCUUCACUUAGCGCAAGACCUAGACAUAACAGAAGCUCAAGAAAUGUAUUCAUUAACUCAUUCAUUAAAAAUAAUUGUUAGUGUUUGUUGCUUGUGAAACUGUGGGCUGAGUGCUGGGGAUGUAAC